UACGGGGGGGGCAAGCGUUGUUCGGAAUUACCGGGCGUAAAGGGCUCGUAGGUGGCCAACUAAGUCAGACGUGAAAUCCCUCGGCUUAACCGGGGAACUGCGUCCGAUACUGGUUGGCUUGAGUUUGGGAGAGGGAUGCGGAAUUCCAGGUGUAGCGGUGAAAUGCGUAGAUAUCUGGAGGAACACCGGUGGCGAAGGCGGCAUCCUGGACCAAUACUGACGCUGAGGCACGAAAGCCAGGGGAGCAAACGGG
rnacentral:rRNA from 1 species